GUCUCCUUCCCCAGGGGACAGCAGAGAGGACCCCAGUGCCCCACAGAGAGACUCGCUCUAUGAGGAAAUCCCAUGUGCCGGGGAGAUUCCCUGCCCCUCGGACAACGACGGGCAACUAUUAUAACAGCCCCAAGGACUAUUGUAACUGAGAUCCCUGCCGUUCACAGUCCCCUCCGCGCCACUGCAACCCGGAUCUUGAUAAGAGUCCCCCGCUCACGCCCCAGGCAGUGUUCACCCUCCUCCAUGAGCUGGGGAAACCCCCGAGAACCCACGCAUCCUAACUCCCAGCCCUUCUUCCAUCUCGCAGCAGAGCCGAGCCGAGCCCCAGGGCAGGCCCCCCUUGGGCCACACGAACUGGGCAUUUCUGGGGCAGUUUAACUGUAGCUUUGAUUUUCCAGGCUGUGUUGGCUUUCGGGAGGUGGGUCAGCCUAGGAGAUAGAGAACAGAACUGGGAGAGAGGCAAACUGGGGUUUGCCUGCCCAUGGGCAACUCACAGCCUUGCUCCGUGCCUCAGUUUCCCUGUCUGUCCUAGAGGGGUAAUGAUCCUGUCCUCCUGUGUGCAACACUUGGAGAUCUCUGGCCAGAAAGCUCCAGACACGGGCAGGGUGUCGUUACUGACCCCACUGCUGUUUUCUUUCAGUUCCAGCCCCUUUCUCAGCUUUAACACAGUUUUCGUCAGGGAAUUGCCUUCGUUUUGUUUCCUGUGAUUGGAUAAUAAAGUGGUUUUCCAAAACCAUCAACUUGGGUGACUGCUGCUGGACAGAGAAGGUUUGCUGAGGGCAGGGGGCUCCGAGGCUCGAAAGCUAAAGGAAAAAAUGACACAGCAAGCAGCCUUUCAAAGUUUUUUUUUUAGCAGAUGCCUCAACUGGGAGAAUUAAAAAAAAAAAA